GAAACUUUAGUUAAUUAUAUAACACAGGAAUGUCAUCCCUGAGUAACUCUUUCUGAGUAAGAUUCU
rnacentral:tRNA from 1 species